GGGGAAUAUUGGACAAUGGGGGCAACCCUGAUCCAGCAAUGCCGCGUGUGUGAAGAAGGUCUUCGGAUUGUAAAGCACUUUCGACGGGGACGAUGAUGACGGUACCCGUAGAAGAAGCCCCGGCUAACUUCGUGCCAGCAGCCGCGGUAAUACGAAGGGGGCUAGCGUUGCUCGGAAUGACUGGGCGUAAAGGGCGUGUAGGCGGUUUACACAGUCAGAUGUGAAAUCCCCGGGCUUAACCUGGGAGCUGCAUUUGAUACGUGUAGACUAGAGUGUGAGAGAGGGUUGUGGAAUUCCCAGUGUAGAGGUGAAAUUCGUAGAUAUUGGGAAGAACACCGGUGGCGAAGGCGGCAACCUGGCUCAUGACUGACGCUGAGGCGCGAAAGCGUGGGGAGCAAACAGGAUUAGAUACCCUGGUAGUCCACGCUGUAAACGAUGUGUGCUAGAUGUUGGGUAACUUU
rnacentral:rRNA from 1 species